AUUGAACGCUGGCGGCAGGCCUAACACAUGCAGGUCGAGCGGAUGAAGGGAGCUUGCUCGUGGAUUCAGCGGCGGACGGGUGAGUAAGUCCUAAGAAUCUGCCUGGUAGUGGGGGAUAACGUCCGGAAACGGGUGCUAAUACCGCAUACGUCCUGAGGGAGUACGUGGGGGAUCUUGGGACCUCACGCUCUCAGAUGAUCGUAGGUGGGAUUAGCUAGUUGGCGGGGUAAAGGCCUACCAAGCCGACGAUCCGUAACUGUUCUGAGAGGAUGAUCAGUCACACUGGAACUGAGACACGGUCCAGACUCCUACGGGAGGCAGCAGUGGGGAAUAUUGGACAAUGGGCGAAAGCCUGAUCCAGCCAUGCCGCGUGUGUGAAGAAGGUCUUCGGAUUGUAAAGCCCUUUAGGUUGGAAGGAAAGGCAGUAGGUUAAUACCUUGCUGUUUUGACGUUACCAAAAGAAUAAGCACCGGCUAACUUCGUG
rnacentral:rRNA from 1 species